rnacentral:rRNA from 1 species
GACGAACGCUGGCGGCGUGCUUAACACAUGCAAGUCGAACGGAAAGGCCCUGCUUUUGUGGGGUGCUCGAGUGGCGAACGUGUGAGUAACACGUGAGUAACCUGCCCUUGACUUUGGGAUACCUUCAGGAAACUGGGGCUAAUACCGGAUAGGAGCUCCUGCUGCAUGGUGGGGGUUGGAAAGUUUCGGUGGUUGGGGAUGGACUCGCGGCUUAUCAGCUUGUUGGUGGGGUAGUGGCUUACCAAGGCUUUGACGGGUAGCCGGCCUGAGAGGGUGACCGGCCACAUGGGGCCUGAGAUACGGCGCAGACUGCUACGGGAGGCAGCAGUGGGGAAUAUUGCACAAUGGGCGGAAGCCUGAUGCAGCAACGCCGCGUGCGGGAUGACGGCCUGCGGGUUGUAAACCGCUUUCGCCUGUGACGAAGCGGGAGUGACGGUAAUGGGUAAAUAAGCACCGGCUAACUACGUG